UACGGAGGGUGCAAGCAUUAAUCGGAUUUAUUGGGCGUAAAGGGCGCGUAGGCGGGGAUGUAAGUCAGAUGUGAAAUCCCGGGGCUCAACCCCGGAACUGCAUUUGAAACUGCAACUCUUGAGGAUGGAAGGAGAGAACGGAAUUCCACAUGUAGCGGUGAAAUGCGUAGAUAUGUGGAGGAACACCGGUGGCGAAGGCGGUUCUCUAUUUUAUUCCUGACGCUGAGGCGCGAAAGCAAGGGGAUCAAAC
rnacentral:rRNA from 1 species